rnacentral:rRNA from 1 species
UGGGGAAUUUUGGACAAUGGGGGAAACCCUGAUCCAGCCAUCCCGCGUGUGCGAUGAAGGCCUUCGGGUUGUAAAGCACUUUUGGCAGGAAAGAAACGUCGCGGGUUAAUACCCCGCGAAACUGACGGUACCUGCAGAAUAAGCACCGGCUAACUACGUGCCAGCAGCCGCGGUAAUACGUAGGGUGCAAGCGUUAAUCGGAAUUACUAGGCGUAAAGCGUGCGCAGGCGGUUCGGAAAGAAAGAUGUGAAAUCCCAGAGCUUAACUUUGGAACUGCAUUUUUAACUACCGGGCUAGAGUGUGUCAGAGGGAGGUGGAAUUCCGCGUGUAGCAGUGAAAUGCGUAGAUAUGCGGAGGAACACCGAUGGCGAAGGCAGCCUCCUGGGAUAACACUGACGCUCAUGCACGAAAGCGUGGGGAGCAAACAGGAUUAGAUGCCCUGGUAGUCCACGCCCUAAACGAUGUCAACUAGCUGUUGGGGGCCUUCGGGCCUUGGUAGCGCAGCUAACGCGUGAAGUUGACCGCCUGGGGAGUACGGUCGCAAGAUUAAAACUCAAAGGAAUUG